rnacentral:rRNA from 1 species
UGCAGUCGAACGGUGAAGCAGAGCUUGCUCUGUGGAUCAGUGGCGAACGGGUGAGUAACACGUGAGUAACCUGCCCUUGACUCUGGGAUAAGCGUUGGAAACGACGUCUAAUACCGGAUACGAGCCUCAGCCGCAUGGCUAGGGGUUGGAAAGAUUUUUUGGUCAAGGAUGGACUCGCGGCCUAUCAGCUUGUUGGUGAGGUAAUGGCUCACCAAGGCGACGACGGGUAGCCGGCCUGAGAGGGUGACCGGCCACACUGGGACUGAGACACGGCCCAGACUCCUACGGGAGGCAGCAGUGGGGAAUAUUGCACAAUGGGCGCAAGCCUGAUGCAGCAACGCCGCGUGAGGGAUGACGGCCUUCGGGUUGUAAACCUCUUUUAGUAGGGAAGAAGCGAAAGUGACGGUACCUGCAGAAAAAGCACCGGCUAACUACGUGCCAGCAGCCGCGGUAAUACGUAGGGUGCAAGCGUUGUCCGGAAUUAUUGGGCGUAAAGAGCUCGUAGGCGGUUUGUCGCGUCUGCUGUGAAAACUGGAGGCUCAACCUCCAGCCUGCAGUGGGUACGGGCAGACUAGAGUGCGGUAGGGGAGAUUGGAAUUCCUGGUGUAGCGGUGGAAUGCGCAGAUAUCAGG